AAAAGUUGCUCUGCUUUGGGAUAAACUCGGGAUCAAUGGAGCUGUGGGGAUGGUGAUGCCCACGGCAGGAAAACAUUCCUUGAGUUGAGCCAGGGAUGUGGGAAUUAUCACCUCCGUGGGAUUUGGCAUGUGGAAAAGCCCCUGGGAAAAGGUGGUUUGUGGCUGAACUCACCUGGGGCCAGGUGUAGAUGUAGCAGCCAACCCCCUCCAUGUCCCAAAAGAGGCAAUAUUGAACCUUCCAGUGCCUCAGCAGCUGGAAAAAGGGGAUUAUUCCAGGGGAUUAUCUCCUGGAAUAAAAACCCAGGAGAUUCCAGGCCUGCUCAGACAGCACAGGCUCCCAGUGUCGUUGGUUUUGAUAAGAAAGCCUUAAAAAAAAAAAAUGUUUAAAAUCCACUGAAUUUCUUCUGAAGCUCAAAUAACCUCGAGUUGAGUUGGAACUGGGUGAUCUUUAGGGGCCCUUCCAACCCAAACCAUCCUGGGCUUCUCUGACUCCUUGCCCUGGUGGGUGGAGAUUUUGGUUUUUUUAGGGAUUUUUUUUUAUUUUUUUUUUUUUUUUAGGAAUUGCAGGAGGAGGAGGAACUUCUUCAAACCAAAAAAUGGGCAAAGCGAUGAUGGCCUGGCCAUGGGGGGUUGUGGGUUAAUUCCUUGUGAUUCCUGAUUUCUCCUGGAUUUCUCACUCUCAGAGCUGCUGCAGGAGGGAGUGGUGGUGUCCGAAAUCUGAGUGAAAAUCAGGAUCUUCAGGCAUAAAAAGUAUUUUCUGUGGGGCUUUAUUUUUUUCAUUCUGUUUUCCAGACUCCACCCCGCAGCGCAGAUGAAUUUGUCAGCAUUGAAUUUGUACAGAUCCUUUCCCAAAGUAACUUCCUCUUAUCUCCUUUAAUACUUUACCCAAUAAUAUUUUAACGAUUUAAUUUUAUUUUAACCAUAGGAAUUUCAGAGUUGCAGAGGCUCUUUCUAAAUUUAUUGACUUGGAGAAAAAAAAAAAAACAAAAAACAAACCCUUGUUGAUACCAUAAAUACUCAUCUUGAUCUAGAUGAAUUCCUUAUUUUUGCACCAGAAUCCCUAAUUUUUUUGCAGUUUAAAGUGCACUUUUUCAUAAAAAAAAAAAAAAACUUAUAUUCCUGAUGAGUGUCUUAUGUGCUGAAAGGGAAAUUCUGCCAAAACUCCAGAGCUGAGGACGUUGUUAAUUCUUCGAGGUGUUCAUUGAAACCUGGGACCUGCUUCUGCUCAGUCUAUUUUUAAGACAAAAUAAGGGAGGAAAUACCUCCCCAGAGAUAGGAAUUGAUGAUGGGGAAUGAAACUAUCACUGCCCUUACAGAAAACUCCGUGGUACUUCCAAAUCCACCUUCAGGUUUUCGAUUGCACCAGCCUCUUAAAUCACAAAUGUUUACGUCGAUGAUCAGGGAGUGCCUUGUCCUGUGCUGGGCUCACGUUUGGGAGGCAGAAUGGUGGGGAUGGGGAUGGAUUUGCCCCGUGUGUGGCUGGAAAAAAAUUGGGCUGGAAACCCCUGAAUUGGUGGGAAUCCCCAUUUUUAUCCAUGGGUGCUCCUCAGAGACUGCACUGAGUUCCCCAGGUGUGCUCACACACACACAUGGACCUGAGGCAGCAAACAGAAUUUGUUGUUCCAUCCUCACUUUUGGUUGGGUUAACCCAAUUCCUGAAGGUUUUGCUGUUCCAUCCUCACUUUUGGUUGGAUUAACUCAACUCUUGAGAGCUUUGCUGUUCCAUUCUCACUUUUGGUUGGAUUAAUCCAACUUUUGCUUGGGUUAACCCAAUUCCUGAAGGUUUUGCUGUUCCAUCCUCACUUUUGGUUGGGUUAACCCAAUUCCUGAGGGUUUUGCUGUUCCAUCCUCACUUUUGGUUAGAUUAAUCCAACUUUUGGUUGGGUUAACCCAAUUCCUGAGGGUUUUUUGCGGUUCCAUCCUCACUUUUGGUUGGAAUAACCCAAUUCCUGAGGUUUUUUUGCUGUUCCAUUCUCACUUUUGGUUGGGUUAACUCAAUUCCUAAAGGUUUUGUUGUCCCAUCCUCACUUUUGGUUGGAUUAACCCAAUUCCUGAGGGUUUCUUUGUCCCAUCCUCACUUUUGCCUGGGUUAACUCAGUUCCUAAAGGUUUUUUGCUGUUCCAUCCUCACUUUUGGUUGGGUUAACCCAACUCCUGAGGGUUUUUUGCUGUCUCCUCUUGGAGCGAGGUGUUUGUCCUGACCCUUUCCCAGCCCUCGGGUCCCCUGCGUGUCCCUUGUGAAGCCACCCGGUGUCUGUGUGGCCACCUCAGGUGUCACCUCGUGCUUGUCAGGACUCUUGGAGCACCAAUCCCAGCCCGUUGGGGUUUCUGUUGUCUGUGUGUUCUUGCAGUGCCUUGUAAAUCCCAACAAUCCCAGAGGGGCUGUGGGGUCGGGGACCAGCGACGCGCUCCCAGCUUGUACUGCCAGACUGGACUUUGUACCUGAGGAUUUGAACCCCUGUUUCAAAGGAAAUAAAGAGUUUAACUCUGA